AUUGAACGCUGGCGGCAUGCCUUACACAUGCAAGUCGAACGGCAGCGGGGACUUCGGUCCGCCGGCGAGUGGCGAACGGGUGAGUAAUGUAUCGGAACGUACCAUUCAGUGGGGGAUAACUAUCCGAAAGGAUAGCUAAUACCGCAUAUUCUGUGAGCAGGAAAGCAGGGGAUCGCAAGACCUUGCGCUGAUUGAGCGGCCGAUAUCAGAUUAGCUAGUUGGUGAGGUAACGGCUCACCAAGGCUACGAUCUGUAGCGGGUCUGAGAGGAUGAACCGCCACACGGGGACUGGGACACGGCCCAGACCCCUACGGGGAGCAGCAGUGGGGAAUUUUGGAGAAUGGGCGCAAGCCUGAGCCAGCCAUGCCGCGUGAGUGAAGAAGGCCUUCGGGUUGUAAAGCUCUUUCGGCCGGGAAGAAAUCGCAUCAGCUAAUACCUGGUGUGGAUGACGGUACCGGAAUAAGAAGCACCGGCUAACUACGUGCCAGCCGCCGCGGUAACAC
rnacentral:rRNA from 1 species